rnacentral:misc_RNA from 1 species
GAUGAAGAACGUAGCGAAAUGCGAUACUUGGUGUGAAUUGCAGAAUCCCGUGAACCAUCGAGUCUUUGAACGCAAGUUGCGCCCGAAGCCAUUAGGCCGAGGGCACGCCUGCCUGGGCGUCACACGUCGUUGCCCCCCCAUCUACUCCUUCGGGAUUGCGGGGGGCGGAUGAUGGCCUCCCGUGCGCCUCGUCGCGCGGUUGGCCUAAAUGCCAAGUCCUCGGCGACGCACGCCACGACAAUCGGUGGUUGCGAAACCUCGGUUGCCCGUCGUGUGCGGUCGUCGUGCAUCGAGGGCUCGAAAAAAUUGCCGGGCUUCGGCUCGACUUUCAACGCGACCCCAGGUCAGGCGGGGUUACCCGCUGAAUUUAAGCAUAUCAAUAAGCGGAGGA